GGCCUCGUAGUUCAGUUGGCUAGAGCAUUGGUUGCACUAAAGCCUUCUCCCUGCUGGCGUGGGUUCGAAUCCCACUGAGGCCG
rnacentral:tRNA from 1 species